GUUUGACUAAUAUCAUCUUUUUCCUUCCUUUCAGGAAUGCAAGAAGGUGGCCUCUGAUGAUAGAUCCUCAAGGUCAGGCUAAUAAAUGGAUCAAGAACAUGGAGAAAGCCAAUAGUCUUCAUCUAAUUAAAUUAAAUGACGCUGACUAUGUCAGGACUCUGGAAAAUUGCAUCCAGUUUGGCACUCCUGGUAUGUAGAUGAAUGACAGACAUACACUGCGGAGUGCCUAGAGAGGCACAAUUAACCCAAAACCAUGUAGUUGAAUUUCUUGUUUUUAAAAUAUAUAUGUUUCAGAUUCACCAUAACUGACAACUUUGUUAAUCUCUUUGAUUAUUAAUAAUCAAAUGAGAACUUUAGAGAUUAUAAAACUUCCAGAAGGUUAGGAGGUGUUCUUUGUCAAAAAAAGUUCAUGGUGAUGCUUCUCUAACUUAGCUAUUUUAAUUCUUGUAGUUUGUUUGCCAUUUAUUCAUUUUCAUUAUAACUCAGCUUCAGCAAUUAAAAGGCUCAUUUAAUAUUGCCAAUAGUAUUUUUACAUAACAUUAGUAUAAAAUUCUAUUUUUUUCUUCUUGGACUUUUCCUACAGGGAAGAUAAUACAGAUUUUACAUCUCUGGCUCUAUCUACCAUUUACGGUGGAAAGAUUAGACACAUGACAAGGAUUUUUCAAUCAAGCUCUUAUGCAAAUGUCACAGCUGUCAAAACAAAAAACAGAAUACUUAUUAUUUAAGUUAAUUUGGGUUAUUAGUCAUGUUUUGAAAUUUAUGCAGUCUAUCAAAUUUUGACCAAAUAAAUGUGAACACUUAUGAACCUACAGCACAUUUAACUUGAGGACUAUUUCAGCAAAUCCCACUUGCUUUAAAGCUAGUACAAUAUGGAAGAAUUAUAAUAAACACACCAGUAAUCAUAGGUGUGUCAUUUUUCCAUAUUAAUGAGUCAGUUUUCAAAUAUGAUUUUAGGUUCUAUUAAAGUAAGCAUGAAUGAAAAAAGUCUAAAUCUACCUAUAACAUUUUGUGUUUAUGUAAUGGACACACACAAGCACAUGCACACAUUAUUUCAUUCAUUCAGCUGGUAUUUUUAAAUUUUUAACUAUUUUAAAUUGACAUGUAAAAAAUGUACAUAUUUGUGGGGUAACAUGAUGUUUUGAUACAUGUUAAUGUUCAAAUCAGGCAUUUACCAUUGCUUUAUUCUGAAAACAUUCAGAAUCCUUUUCUGUAGCUUUUAAAAUAUAUAUAUAAUACAUUACCAUUAUCUAUAGUUAAUCUACUAUGCAAUAGUGCUUACAGUAUGAUGAUAUAGGAGUUACCCAAUAAGGGAGGAUAAUCUCUACUAUCAAACAUUUAUCCUUAUUUGACAUCAGGAAUAUCUAUCUAUACCUAUAUUUAUUUCUUUCUAUCUAUAACUAUGAUAAAAAUAGAAUGUGGCCAUUUUUCACUAACUCUUAUUGUGACCAGCAUACUGUCAUGUACAGGGACACAGGCUUCUGGAUUCAGAGUACCUUCCUCUGCCACUCAGUGUUUGGUUCAGUGACUCAGUUUCCUCAUCUGUAUUUUAACUAUAUAAUAUAAGGAAAAAAUUAGUUACUGUAUAUUGGAAACUAAGAACAGUGUCUGAUAAGUGCUCAAUUUAUGUUGUAUGUGUGUGUAUAUUUCCUUCCAUGAUUUUAAAGCUUGACCCAGUAUCAAACUCAGGGCCUUGUGUAUGCUAGCACAUAUUCUACAAUUGAGCUGUAUCCCCAGCCCUGGGUUUUGUUGCUGUUGUUGCUGAGCAUUUUCUAAGUGGUGUCUUGUCUUAAACUAUAACAAGUUUAUCAACUAUAAAUUCACAGGUGACACGAAGUGAAAAUUCAGAAGAAUCAGAUUUCUUGAAGGAAUUGGCACCUUCAAUACUUUAUGUAAUUAAAAUUGCUUAAUAUAAAUAUUCAAAUACUUUUCUCAGCAUAAUAAAAGAUAACUAAAUGGUAAUUGAGCAUUUACCAUCUGCUAGGCACUCUGAAGAUAUUUCUGAUCUGAAUCACAUAUCUUGCUGGUAAAAUUUCAUAAUUAUAGAGGAGAAAGAGCCAUAAAGAUGAUCCAUCUAGUGUUUUUUCAAAGUAUGGGUUACAGCCAUGGGAAAGACUAAUUUUGUGGAUCAUGACCAAUAGAGCAGAGUAGGUAGCAUUGUACAGAGGAAGGAUAAGCAUUAGUUCAGGGAAUUUUUUGUUUAAGUUUUUAUAUGAGUAAGUAUACUAGGUCAAGAUUUAAAAUGCUUUUGAGUUGUGACCAUAAAAACUUGAAAUUCAAUAAAAAUUCCAACCACUUGAUUUUACUCAGAUACAUAGGGUGUUAUAGAAUGUUACAUAGCUGAACCAAGAUAGUACAGGCAGUUGAGGGGGUAGGGGUACUAAAACUAGCUCCCAAGUCUUCCGCCUCUGUCCCAGUCUUCACUGUGUCACACAAGUAAGACUGCUUUGGGUUGAAUUAACCUAUAUUUUGAAAUGAGUCACUUUAUAAAUGGUUAAUGAUUUAUUUAUCAUGUCUUCUAACAUUAAUCAUCAGAAGUAAAAAGUUUUAAUCCCUUAUAGAAAAAUAAAUAUAUGGUAGGUUUUACAGCUAUUUUUUAUGUUUAACCAUCAAGGAAAAGAAUCAGCUACUGAUAUAGUUCUAAAACACAAGUGGUUAAAGACUCUUCCAUUUAAGAAGUUAUAUUUAGAUGGUGGCUCUUCAGGGACAGUGGCAUUUGAUCUAUUGUCCCUUACAGGCAGCCUGGGUCAAGAAGGCAGAGGUUUUUGCCUACUUCAUCUACCUGCCUCUACUUCAACCAAAGCUAGGUCUUCCUUUUCUUUUAUUAUAUUGAGUUUUAAGAUAAGAUCCUCUUUGAGAAAAAGUACUGUGCUUUUUUUAAAAAGUUUGAAAUCCAAUGUUCUAGAAAAUAAAAUUUCAUCUGUAUUAGCUGUAUCAAUGGAUAAAGUAUGCAUAGAAUAUUAAUCAAAUAAAUAUCACUGAUAAAUCAAUUUGUAUAAAAGAUCUUUGAGUGAUUUUCCAUUGAAUCUAUGGGAAAAUUUUUUAUUCUUAACAAAAGCUAUCAUACACCUUCCUUAUUUUCUUAUCUCUUAGCACUUUACUUUUUCUCUCUUCUAUAACAAAUCAAGGAUGCAAAAUUCCUUGUUUUAAUAUUUCUUUCAUUUGCUUGUUUGUUCAUUCAACUAAUAAACAUUUAUUUUGCAACUACCAUGUACCAGGAGCUGUGGUAGACACUAAAAAGGCAGCAGAUCAAGACAAAUUUGGUCUCUGCUUUCAUGAAUCUUAUUGGUUUAAAAGGAAAGGCAGGCAUUGAAGAUGAAAUGUGAAUUAAAAGAUGGAAGUACUUGGAAUCGGCCAAUACUUAAUAGCACUGUUUCACAUCUCAGUUUCUGUCUGUGCUCUUCCGUGUAUCUGGUGAAUUCUUUUUUUGUCUUUUAAGAUACAACUCAAAUGCAUACAUUUCCUAACCUCUGUUGUAUAUGUGGCCAUCUGACUAUGGUUGGAUUUGGUCAAAUGACUAUGUUCUGGCCAACAGAUAUAAGUGUAAAAUACAAUUUGUGACUCUCAGUAAAUAUCCUGAAAAGGAUAUUUCUUUUUUUUCUGCUUCUUUUUCUUUCUGGUGGGUAGAAUAUGUAUGUUAUUUGAAAGGCCAUACUGGCCAAAAAGAUUAAAACAACCUGUCAAGAAUAGUGAAAUAGCCAGGCAUGGUGGCAUAUACCUAUAAUCCCAGCCACUUGAGAGGCUGAGGCAGGAGGAUCAUGAGUUCAAAGCCAGCCUCAGCAACUUAGUGAGGCCCUAAACAACUCUGUGAGACCCUUGUCUCUAAAUAAAAUACAAAAAAGGGCUGCAGAUGUUGCUCAGUGGUUAAAUACUCCUGAGUUCAAUCCCCAGUACCAAAAAAAGAAAAAGAAAAGAAAGAGAGAGAGAAAAAAAAAGAAUCAACAGGUGAUGGGAAGUUGGGUCCUUUACAGUUUAGAUACACUGACCUUCCAACCCUGCAUUCCCUGCACUAUGUGAGGUUCCCCUUUAUAUGAGGUAUAUAUUCCCUUUUGUUGGAAAAACUAUUAUUUUGGGAAUUCUGACACUUGAAAAUGGGUCCAAUUGUAAAUAUCAUACCCUAAAGUGGAAAAGUGGGCAAAUAAUAUUAACAAAUAGUUUACAGGAAAAAAUAUAUAUAUAUACUUAGUCAAAGAGCCCCUAAAACACCCUGCCCACGUAACAAAUUUUAAUGUUUUACCUGAAUCAGUUUACCUAUUAAAUUGUAAAAUCACUUGUAAUACACACACACACACACACACACACACGUAUUAUAGAAGUCAGUAUUUCAUGCUGACAGUAUCACAUAGUAGUUAAGAAAGUGAUAGAAGGGCCAAGAUUGCUAAGUCAAGUCUCUGGUCAUUUGCUACUUAUCUUACCAAGAAAUUUAUUUCGGUUGCCUGUGCUUUUUUCAUCUGCAAAACUGGGGUAACAAUAGUCCAUGUUUUUUAAUGUUAUGAGGACAAUGAGAAAACAUAACGUCUACAAGAUGUUCAGUAUUUGUAAUUAUAGUUAUAUGUAAAAAUAGGUUUAAAAACAAAUAACAUUUAAAAUGAGUACUCAUUGCAACUCAGAAGUCUCUACAGCUUUUCAAGAAAAGCGUCAGGCAAUAUCAGGAAUUUUAAAAUAUUCCUAACAGUAGACCAUUAAUUCUACUUUUCAUACCAUAGCCUGAUAAAUAACUUGCCUAGCACGUGCACGGCCCUGGGUUUGAUCCUCAGCACCACAUAAAAAUAAAUGAUUUUUUUAAAAAAGGUAUUGUAUUCAACUAAAACUAAAAUAAAUAUUUUAAAAAAAUAAUAGUGGAAAAUGUAAGCAACCUCGAUAAUAGAAGAUUGAUGAAUUUAAUAUAUUAUUAUGCACUCAUUAUUUAACCAUGAAAAAUAAGCAUUUUAUGAAAAAAGAAGCAGGAAUAACACAUGGGAUGAGCAGAAUAUUUCUAUACUUUCACUGAAAUAAAGAUCCAGAUUGCAUAGUCAGUCUUUCAAGGGACUUCUACAAAGUACCCUCAUCCAAGUGUAGCUAUGAUAAAACCCCAACAGCAAAAUGUUAAACUUUAACUUGGCAAGUAUGUUAAGUCUAACAGUGUCACCAAAUUUCAUCCAGGGAUUCCACUUCUACAGUUCUCUCAGAAGAAAAUAUUCUGAAACACAAAGUUUUGUAUAUAGUACUAUUUAUUACGUGGAACUGAAAAAAAACAAUCCAAAUAUAAAAUAAUAGAAUGACAGUUAAAAAGGGAGGGAACACUUAUAUGUGUGUUAGAGUUUUUAAUAACACAGGGAAAUAUUUACGCUAUAACAUAAAGCAAAAUAAUUAGGAUACGAGAUUCAAAAUAUUGUUUAGUCUUAACUACAUGUGAGAAAAGAUGAAUAAAAAUACUGAAGAUAAAAAGUAUUUUCUUCAAUAAUUAUGCCAUAUAUAGUUUUGUGUCAUUUUUCCAUCACCUAUAGAUGGUAUGAAUCAAUUACAGUAAAUAAGGGGGUAUAGAGAGAAAGAUGAAGAAAAUCUGAUCAGAGGUAGCUUUUUAAAUUCCUUCAUUAAUAUCUUUCCUGUAUUUUCCAGCUAUUCUACAAUAAGCACAAGAUUUGUUAAAUUAAAAAUACAAUCACUAUUUAAUCACAACCAGAGGUGCUUUUUCUCUGGUGUCACAGAUGGAUAGAUACACCAGCAUCAUGCUUGGUUUCAUAGUAAAUCACAGGCAGUGGGGCAGUAUCCAACAGGACUGGUUGGCCUGGUUGACUCUGGGUAUGGAAACAGGCAGGAUGACCAGGUAGACCCCCCAAUUCAGACCUUCCCACAGGCAUACAAUAUUGGUUUGGGUAUCAUUUUCAUAUACAUGGAAGAAAAACAUCAUUUUUUAGAGACUAGGAACAGAAGUAAUCUAGGAAGUAGGAAGCUGAAAGAACUCAAGAGAGUCUACUGCUUAUAGCCAGUAUUUAAAAUAACAUGGAAAAUCUUCUUCUGGUUUUACUCCAGUGAUGCUAGAAAAUGUUGGUGAAGAACUAGAUCCUGUCUUGGAACCUCUUCUACUAAAACAGACAUUUAAGCAGGGCGGGAGUGUAUGUAUCCGGCUUGGGGAUGCUACAAUUGAAUACGCACCUGACUUCCGCUUCUAUAUAACUACCAAGUUAAGAAAUCCUCAUUAUCUUCCUGAAACAUCUGUAAAGGUUUGUAUCUAAAAUAAAUGUUUCUUUAUCAGUUUUUA
rnacentral:lncRNA from 1 species